rnacentral:rRNA from 1 species
UCAAUCUCGUGCGGCUAGGAGCCGCCUGUCCCUCUAAGAAGAUUCAUGUGUACGCCGGCAGUAAAAACGCGCGACACCCGCCCGCACCGGCGAACGGGAGACGCGAGCCUUCGAGAUGCCGGAAAGUAACGCCUAUUUAGCAGGCUAGAGUCUCGUUCGUUAU